UCCAACCGGGACAGUCGGUGGACUAGCGCGAAGUCACAGGCACGAUUAACAGAUCUCCAAGGUCGACUGAUGAGCAGCCAGUAGGACUGCCGGGAGGCUUGGGCUACACCGACGGGCACAGCUGCUGUCAGACUGGGAUGUUUUCUCCACCGCCUGAUCUUGACACACAGCCAGCCAUGAUCGCAGUUGGAAUCUGAGUCAAACUGUUAUCAACUUUUCCAGCGUCAAACGUGGCAAUACUGAGCAAUAUUUGGG
rnacentral:lncRNA from 1 species